UACGGAGGGUGCAAACGUUAAUCGGAAUUACUGGGCGUAAAGCGCGCGUAGGUGGUUUGUUAAGUGGGAUGUGAAAGCCCAGGGCUCAACCUUGGAACUGCAUUCCAAACUAACGAACUAGAGUACGAUAGAGGGGGGUAGAAUUCAGAGUGUAGCGGUGAAAUGCGUAGAUAUUCUGAGGAAUACCAGUGGCGAAGGCGGCCCCCUGGAUUGAUACUGACACUGAGGCGCGAAAGCGUGGGGAGCAAACAGG
rnacentral:rRNA from 1 species